GCAGAACAAUACGACUCUGCUCACUUCUGGUGCUCUCUCUGGUUCUCGCCAACAACACAUUUCUGUUCCAGUAUUCUGAAAUUUAUACUUAUAUUGCCAGUAGCUAUGGACAAGAUGAACACUGGUGCCCGGAGCGAGAAGAUCGAUCAGUCGCUGCAGAAGUAUGAUCACCCACGCUGCCGUUGGCACAUAUUAUUUGGUACGAAGUCAGAACUACACAACUUAUAUCAUGCACGCAUAGCAAGUGAUUUUGAAGAUACUUGGACGGCCCUAGUCAAUGAGUAUGGUCUUCAAGAGGAGAAUGCAUAUCUCCAAAAGGCGCAGAUGUUAAUAGACGAUGAAACAAAGCCCAAUGAUUCACAGGAGAUAGAUACAGACCGUAAAGAUGUCAAGAGGGAGGUGGAGGCUCCUAAGUUGAUCAUUUCUCGUCAUAGUGAUGAUAAAUUCUCAUCCUAG
rnacentral:lncRNA from 1 species